UGGUACAAGACAGCAAGGUGUCCCAAGUAUCGGUCCAAAACAAGAUUGCAUACCAGUUCCGUAUUGGUACGGUAUGAUACAGACUGGUACAACGAGCCUUUCUUUGGCAUUUAUAGAAGUGUGUAUAAAAUAACUCAUAAGUCGUAAUAGACGAGCAUAAGCAUGGAUAAAACAAACGACAAGAGUGGGAAAUACAUGUGUGGGAAUAAAAGUUAAGGGAAACUCAGGCAAGCCCUAAUAUUGACAUGGGCAGUGAAACCAAGGGAUGAAAAUUCAUUAUUUUGUGGUGAUUGAUUUCUAAGUGAAGAGGCACCACCUAGAGGUUUACAAGUCACGUAAGCUGAAGCAAGCAUAAGUGCAAGUGAUUAGCACUAAGGAUUUGCAAAAACAUAGGACUUCGGAUGCUUGAGCAUAAAAGUCAGAAACAAUGUUGAUUAUGAGCUGAAAAGUCUUCUGCUGCCUUGAGAAGGUUACAAUUCCAAAGCAGGAUAAAAUAUGCAACAAUAAGUAGAUUGAUUGAACAUUGGAAAGAAAGAUAAUCGUACUCAAUCGGCAUGCUAUACAAAACAUAGCUUCCGUGUGAUCACUGCCAUGGCUUGUGGAGGUGUCAUUUAUUGGACUCCUUGAAAG
rnacentral:lncRNA from 1 species